rnacentral:rRNA from 1 species
GGAAUAUUGGACAAUGGCCGAGAGGCUGAUCCAGCCAUGCCGCGUGCGGGAGGACGGCCCUAUGGGUUGUAAACCGCUUUUGUUGGGGAGCAAUAAGGUCUACGUGUAGACUGAUGAGAGUACCCAGCGAAUAAGCAUCGGCUAACUCCGUGCCAGCAGCCGCGGUAAUACGGAAGGUCCGGGCGUUAUCCGGAUUUAUUGGGUUUAAAGGGAGCGCAGGCCGACUGGUAAGCGUGACGUGAAAUGUAGCCGCUCAACGGCUGAACUGCGUCGCGAACUGUCAGUCUUGAGUGAGUUCGAUGUUGGCGGAAUUCGUGGUGUAGCGGUGAAAUGCUUAGAUAUCACGAAGAACUCCGAUUGCGAAGGCAGCCAACAAAGCCUUUACUGACGCUAAAGCUCGAAGGUGCGGGUAUCGAACA